rnacentral:rRNA from 1 species
AGAACGAACGCUGGCGGCAGGCCUAACACAUGCAAGUCGAACGCGACUUCGGUCGAGUGGCGCACGGGUGAGUAACGCGUGGGAACCUGUCCUGUGGUACGGAAUAACAUCGGGAAACUGGUGCUAAUACCGUAUAUCCCCUGAGGGGGAAAGAUUUAUCGCCAUAGGAGGGGCCCGCGUAGGAUUAGCUAGUUGGUGAGGUAACGGCUCACCAAGGCGACGAUCCUUAGCUGGUCUGAGAGGAUGAUCAGCCACACUGGGACUGAGACACGGCCCAGACUCCUACGGGAGGCAGCAGUGGGGAAUAUUGGACAAUGGGCGAAAGCCUGAUCCAGCCAUGCCGCGUGAGUGAUGAAGGCCUUCGGGUUGUAAAGCUCUUUCGCACGUGACGAUGAUGACGGUAACGUGAGAAGAGCCCGGCUAACUUCGCGCCAGCAGCCGC